UACGAAGGCAGCAGUGGGGAAUAUUGCACAAUGGGCGCAAGCCUGAUGCAGCCAUGCCGCGUGUAUGAAGAAGGCCUUCGGGUUGUAAAGUACUUUCAGUCGUGAGGAAGGUGUUAAGGUUAAUAACCUUAGCAAUUGACGUUAGCGACAGAAGAAGCACCGGCUAACUCCGUGCCAGCAGCCGCGGUAAUACGGAGGGUGCGAGCGUUAAUCGGAAUUACUGGGCGUAAAGGGCACGCAGGCGGUUAAUUAAGUUGGAUGUGAAAUCCCCGGGCUUAACCUGGGAAUGGCAUUCAAGACUGGUUAGCUAGAGUCUUGUAGAGGGGGUAGAAUUCCAUGUGUAGCGGUGAAAUGCGUAGAGAUGUGGAGGAAUACCGGUGGCGAAGGCGGCCCCUGGACAAAGACUGACGCUCAUGUGCGAAAGCGUGGGGAGCAAACAGGGAUUUAGAUACC
rnacentral:rRNA from 1 species